UUCUUGGUAGUCCAAUGGUUAAGACUCGGUACUUUCACUGCCAUGGGCUCAGGUUCAAUUCCUAGUCAGGGAA
rfam:Ovis aries breed Texel chromosome 3, whole genome shotgun sequence.